rnacentral:rRNA from 1 species
UACGUAGGGAGCAAGCGUUGUCCGGAAUCAUUGGGCGUAAAGCGCGCGUAGGUGGCUCCAUAAGUCCGUUGUGAAAGUCAAAGGCUCAACCUUUGAAAGCCGAUGGAUACUGUGGAGCUAGAGUACGGAAGAGGCGAGUGGAAUUCCCAGUGUAGAGGUGAAAUUCGUAGAUAUUGGGAAGAACACCGGUGGCGAAGGCGGCGACCUGGUCCGAUACUGACGCUGAGGCGCGAAAGCGUGGGGAGCAAACAGG